GACGUAGGGUGCGAGCGUUGUCCGGAUUUAUUGGGCGUAAAGAGCUCGUAGGCGGCUUGUCGCGUCGACCGUGAAAACUUGGGGCUCAACCCCAAGCCUGCGGUCGAUACGGGCAGGCUAGAGUUCGGUAGGGGAGACUGGAAUUCCUGGUGUAGCGGUGAAAUGCGCAGAUAUCAGGAGGAACACCGGUGGCGAAGGCGGCGACCUGGGUCGAGACUGACGCUGAUGCGCGAAAGCGUGGGGAGCAAACAGG
rnacentral:rRNA from 1 species